CUGGCGGCGUGCCUAACACAUGCAAGUCGAACGGAGUAAGGUCUUCGGAAUUUGCUUAGUGGCGAACGGGUGAGUAACGCGUGAGCAACCUGCCUCUUUGAGGGGGAUAACAACCGGAAACGGUUGCUAAUACCGACAUAAGACCACACUGUCGCAUGGCAGGAGAGGUCAAAGGAGCAAUCCGCAGAGAGAGGGCUCGCGUCCCAUUAGGUAGACGGCGGGUAACGGCCACCGUGCCGACGAUGGUAGCCGAGCUGAGAGGCUGAUCGGCCACACUGGAACUGAGACACGGUCCAGACUCCUACGGGAGGCAGCAGUGGGAAUAUCGGGCAAUGGGCGAAAGCCUGAACCCCAGCAACGCCGCGUGAGGGAAGAAGGUCUUCGGAUUGUAAACCUCUGGUCCUUGGUGACGAAGGAAGUGACGGUAGCCAAGGAGGAAGCCCGGCUAACUACGUGCCAGCAGCUGC
rnacentral:rRNA from 1 species